CCUACGGGAGGCAGCAGUCGAGAAUCAUUCACAAUGGGGGAAACCCUGAUGGUGCGACGCCGCGUGGGGGAAUGAAGGUCUUCGGAUUGUAAACCCCUUUCAUGUGGGAGCAAAUUAAAAAGAUAGUACCACAAGAGGAAGAGACGGCUAACUCCGUGCCAGCAGCCGCGGUAAUACAGAGGUCUCAAGCGUUGUCCGGAAGCACUGGGCGUAAGGCGUGCGGAGGCUGUUUCGUAAGUCGGGUGUGAAAGGCGCGGGCUCAACCCGCGGACGGCACAUGAUACUGCGAGACUAGAGUACAGGAGGGGGAGCCGGAAUUCGUGGUGUAGCAGUGAAAUGCGUAGAUAUCGGGAGGAACACUCGUGGCGAAGGCGGGUUCCUGGACAUUAACUGACGCUGAGGCACGAAGGCCAGGGGAGCGAAAGGGAUUAGAUACCCUAGUAGUC
rnacentral:rRNA from 1 species